CUAUCGGAGUAAAAGGUCCUAUAAAGAAGAUUUUGUUUCUUCAACAGAAAUGAGAACCGUAGCUCCAUGGCCGGAGAAUAAAGGAAAGGCGUUUUCAGCCAUGCCAGUGUGCACUGUAAAUAAGAAUGUGGCUGGAUGGCUGUUUCCAUGAGGCUGGGAAAGAUGACUACAAGUAGUUCCGGUUUGCCAGCAGUUACAGCCACUCAUUCCGGGAACAGUGCUUCUUCGUGUGUGGAAGGGGAGAAACCACAUCGCCGAUGGCAAUGCCACUUCCGGUGUUGGAGGUAUCACACAGCACACCUGCAUAUGGCUUCAUCUGUGGCUGUCACACUCACGGUAAUUCUACAUGUUUGAGCAAGCAUCCGACUCCCUCAUUGUGUCUUCUAGUGUGGGCAUAACCAUGCAUUUACUUAUUGAUGCAUUAUUAUUUUAUUAUAUGCUAUUUUAGAAAUGAUUUUAUUUUAUUAUACGCUAUUUUAA
rnacentral:lncRNA from 1 species